UACGUAGGGUGCGAGCGUUGUCCGGAAUUACUGGGCGUAACGAGCUCGUAGGUGGUUUGUCGCGUUGUCCGUGAAAACUCACAACUCAAUUGUGGGCGUGCGGGCGAUACGGGCAGACUGGAGUACUGCAGGGGAGACUGGAAUUCCUGGUGUAGCGGUGGAAUGCGCAGAUAUCAGGAGGAACACCGAUGGCGAAGGCAGGUCUCUGGGCAUUAACUGACGCUGAGGAGCGAAAGCAUGGGGAGCGAACAGG
rnacentral:rRNA from 1 species